GAUCAUGGCUCAGGAUGAACGCUAGCUACAGGCUUAACACAUGCAAGUCGAGGGGCAGCAUUCCAGUUUGCUUGCAAACUGGAGAUGGCGACCGGCGCACGGGUGAGUAACACGUAUCCAACCUGCCGAUAACUCGGGGAUAGCCUUUCGAAAGAAAGAUUAAUACCCGAUGGCAUAAUAGAACCGCAUGGUUUGAUUAUUAAAGAAUUUCGGUUUUCGAUGGGGAUGCGUUCCAUUAGGCAGG
rnacentral:rRNA from 1 species